rnacentral:tRNA from 1 species
AGAGAGGUGGCCGAGUGGUCGAAGGCGCACGCCUGGAAAGUGUGUAUCCCGAUUGCAUCGGGAUCGAGGGUUCGAAUCCCUUCCUCUCUG